rnacentral:siRNA from 1 species
AUUCAUGGUUUAAAUGGUGGUCAA